rnacentral:lncRNA from 1 species
GUAAAUAGACUAAUCCCCGGUCGAGUGGGAUAUACCGAUGAAUUUAUAAGUGGAAUGGAUGAAUUUAUUAAAUUUUCUUGUAGUCAACAUAAGUAUUUGUCUGAAAAAGUUAUAAGGUGUCCUUGUAAGCGUUGUAAAAAUAUGAAGCAUCUGACACCCGAUGAAGUUAAUGUGCAUGUUUUUCGAAAAGGAUUCACACCAAGAUAUUGGUAUUGGACGUCACAUGGAGAGGAAGCCCCUUCAAUUAAUUUGAAUGAACAUAUCUAUUUUGGUGAUUCAAGUAGUCAUCAAGAAUGUGACUUUGACAUACCCUCAAGCAGUCAAUGUAACAUUCUAGAAAAAAACUGUGAACACGUAGGUAUGAUUGAUGUUGUUGCUGCUGUAGAAUUUAGUCAUCAAGUUGAACCCAAUGUAGAAGAGUCUCCGAAUAUAGGUGCUAGCAGAUUUUACAAAAUGUUGAAACGUGUGGGCAAGAAGGGUAAGAAAAAUAUUCCACACAAGACAAUGCAUUACCUGCCACUUAUUCCUAGACUUCAACGGUUAUAUGCUUCGAAAAGAUCUGCUGAACACAUGAGGUGGCACUAUGAAAAUCGCAGGGAAGAAGGUGUGUUAUGCCACCCUUCGGAUGGAGAAUCAUGGAAAAUUUUUUAUCGAACUUAUCCAGACUUUGCUGUAGAGCCUAGAAAUGUUAGGCUUGGUCUUUGUUCUGAUAGUUUUACUCAUUUUGGCCAAUCAGGAUCAUCAUACUCUUGUUGGCCAAUGAUUGUUACACCAUACAAUCUUCCUCCUGAUAUUUGUAUGACUGCCCCAUAUAUGUUCUUAACAUUGAUUAUUCCAGGUCCUCAUAAUCCCAAAAAUAAAAUUGAUGUGUAUCUUCAACCGUUAAUAGAUGAAUUACAACAGUUAUGGAAAGAUGGUGUAGUCACUUAUGACAUGUCCAAGAAACAGAAUUUUCUUAUGCGAGCAGCAUUGAUGUGGACAAUUAAUGAUUUUCCUGCUUAUGGCAUGCUGUCGGGAUGGAGUACAGCAGGUAAAUUAGCUUGCCCAAUUUGUAUGGAUGAAACAAAAACUUUCAGUUUGAAAAAUGGAAGAAAAGUUUCUUGGUUUGAUUGUAACCGGCAAUUCUUGCCUCUCAAUCAUGAAUUUAGAAGAAACAAGAAUGCUUUUUAUAAAGGAAGAGAGGAAAAGUCUAGACCUCCUCUCAGGUUAACUGGAGAACAAGUGUGGGAAAAAAUUAAAGGAUUUCCUAAGAUUACUGAAUCUAGUCCUCGCAACUUUUACGGUUAUGGAAAAUCACAUAAUUGGACCAAAAGAAGUAUUUUUUGGGAUCUACCAUAUUGGAAGACCAAUCUAGUUCGCCACAAUCUUGAUGUAAUGCAUAUAGAAAAGAAUGUCUUUGACAAUAUUUUCCAUACAGUCAUGGAUAACAGUGAGAGAACAAAGGAUAAUGAGAAGGCAAGAAUGGACUUGAAAGAAUAUUGUCGUCGAAGUGAUUUACACUUGCAACAGAAUGCUGAUGGGAGAUGGAUUAAACCCAAAGCAAAGUUUACUUUAAAUGACGACCAAAAGAAAGAUAUAUGUGAGUGGGUUCAUGAGCUAAAAAUGGU